GAUGAACGCUGACAGAAUGCUUAACACAUGCAAGUCUUAGGCGAAGCUCUGCUUGCACAGCCUAGCCAAGGCGGACGGGUGAGUAACGCGUAAGGAACUCGCACUGCAGUCAGGGAUAACAGACGGAAACGACUGAUAAGACCCGGUCAAGUCAGGCGGACCCAUGUCCAGCCCGCUGAAAAGAGAUGCUGCCGGUGAGGCUUGCGUCCUAUUAGCUUGUUGGUGGGGUAACGGCCCACCAGGGCGAUGAUCGGUAGCCGGCCUGAGAGGAUGGACGGCCACCAGACUGCUAAUAUGCCGCCCCUCCGCCUACGAGAGGCAGCAGUGGUGGAUAUUGGACGAUGGGGGCCACCAUGAUCCAGCAGUUCUGUGUGCACGGUGAAGGUUUUCUUAUUGUAAUGUGCUUCCAUUAGGCAGGAAGAAAAUGACAGUACCUGCAGAAGAAGCGACGGCUAACUACGUG
rnacentral:rRNA from 1 species